rnacentral:tmRNA from 1 species
GGGGGUGUCAUGGUUUCGACUGAAAAAAGUAGGAUGGUUCGGCGUGUCGGAGAUGGGUGGUUGCUCCGUUAACAACCCGCUCGAUGUCAUGAAAUGGCAAAAACAAAAAAGGAAAGCUGGUUAAGGGGUUGUUCGGCCGUAAGGCUCGUGUAGCUGCUUGAUCGGGGAGGUUGCCGGAGAUGGCAACCCGUCGUGUCGUCUGACGGUCCGCUAAGAUGAUGCGGCGUCUGGUAGCGGGCAAGAGUGUGGAUGGCGCGCUUCCGCCACGCUUUGAUUGUUGCGCUCGUUCUGUGGGGAUCUGCCGUUAGAGUCCGAUGGGAUCAAAUGUGAAAUAACGGCUAUGCACGUAGAUGUGCCAUCCGUGGGUUUUUAGGACGUGGGUUCGACUCCCACCACCUCCACCA